UACGUAGGGUGCAAGCGUUGUCCGGAAUUAUUGGGCGUAAAGAGCUCGUAGGCGGUCUGUCGCGUCGGAUGUGAAAACCCAGGGCUCAACCCUGGGCCUGCAUUCGAUACGGGCAGGCUAGAGUUCGGUAGGGGAGACUGGAAUUCCUGGUGUAGCGGUGAAAUGCGCAGAUAUCAGGAGGAACACCGGUGGCGAAGGCGGGUCUCUGGGCCGAUACUGACGCUGAGGAGCGAAAGCGUGGGGAGCGAACAGG
rnacentral:rRNA from 1 species